AAAACCCCAAAGGCCCAAACUAAGCAAAUCUCAUCCGCUAGCGCUGCAACACAAAUUCGUCGGCCACCCUAACAACCAAAAGUGUCAAUUUCGAUAUUAUUACUGGCAUCGUUCUUUUCCUUCACUUUCUUGUCUUCAUCGGCAAAGUAUUCUGCUUCCCAGGUCAUACAGUCUGAUGUUCGAUAAUUUAGCAGGUGGAAGAUUUCAAUGUGAUGAAAAGUUGUAGAAAUUAUUUGAUGACUAUCAUUCGUCAAGAUUAGUUUUAUAAUGACAUUAGCUAUUUAGUUCAAACAAUAUAAGUUUAUUUUUAA